GAUGACAAAAUUUGCCCACGUCGGACCGCCGCGCCAUCUUCCUGUUCAAGUGAGCAUAGCACAAAAAUGUGAGUCCAAAAAUAAUCGUAUUCUGCUGCAUAAAUUAUGUAAUAUGCCAGGGAGAUAUGUAUACUGUAGCUAAGAAAGUAAUACUAAGUGUAUGGUGUGUAGUAAACUGUUAGUAGCCCAUGUGCUUCACCCUAAUAAUUUGGUCUAUUUUCCUCACUUCAUUUCGCCUACUGUAUUGACUUGGUGGUGCACAUGUAGCCUAUAAACUGUUUUAGAGAAGUGUAAUAACCAAAUAUUGUAAGAGCUUUCAUUGUCUGCGUAUUUGCCCUCUUUAUUUGUUCUACGGUUCUGACUUGGUGUACAGGGAGAAGAACGUCCCAUGUUCUGAAUUCUGUCACUGUACAUUUCAAAAGUGCUGAACAAAUAGUUAUAAUGACUACGUCUGUCCUAACUCGCUCAUUAAUGUCUUUAAAUUACGGAUUGCCUCUUAUUGUCCUCUUGUCGUCCUCUUAGGCCAUAGUUUGUAAAACAUUUUUUUUUUUGCCCCACCAAGAUUUACAUGCUCAAAUCGCCACUACAGCUGUAUACUUUUGAGUAACACUCAAAAAUAUCGUGCCAGAACAUGUGCAGUUUGGGGCAUGACCAGAAGAGGUGACCUAGGGUACCCUCGGCAGACUUGCACUUAGGGCAUAUCAGAGAGACCGAGGGGUAAAACGAGUAGUGGGGGGGGGGUUAUAGUUAUGGCAAAUAGGAGUACAGACAGAGGACCGAAUGUUUUCCUUACUUGAUACCAUUUUUUAAAUGUUUUUUUUUUGGGGCAUAAAGUUAUUGGCAGUAAUACCUGUAGGGAAUUUAGUUGAUGAAAGGAGAAGUGCUGGAAGAAAGGUGUUGUGCAUUAUCUUGUUCAAUAGUGAGCCAUGAAUUGGUGGAGGGAUCUACCACGCCAGGGUAUGCAUCCUGCCAAUAAACCCUGGCCUCCAUCCUAACCACAGUAACCUACGCCUGCGUGAGCUUCAACUGUUCCGUCUCCUUGACUACACCAGUUUGGUCCGGCCUGUUUGUGAGUCCUCGCUUUUCACUGUCUUAUGCAAGACUGUGUUAGCCCACUGAGAUAAUGCCUAGGCAUCCCCGGUUGACACUGUCUAUGUUGUUUCAAAAUGUUUUUCCCAUGAUGUGCCCACUGAACACGACCCUGGUAUAGAUGAUGUCACUAAGCUGGUUAUUGUGUGUUGUUACAGUAUCUGGCCACUGGAGGGCUGGCAAUGGAAGUUCAGAGGAAACCCAACAAACUCAAUGUGACCACACUGAUAGGCCUGCACAUCUUCAGCCUACUGCUGGGGUGCUGUGCUCUGCUGGCCUACAGCCUCAUCACUACACAGGCUAAAGCACUCUACACAGACCAACAGAUUUCAAGUUCUUACCCUAGACCUUAUUGGAGAAGCUGACACUAUGUCACGGAACAAUGACGAACUGGACUACAGGAAAAGGCGGGCCAAACAGGCCCCCAUUAACAUCGACGGGGCUGUAGUGGAGCAGGU